UGCCAGCCGCCGCGGUAAUACUGAAGGUGCAAGCGUUAAUCGGAAUCACUGGGCGUAAAGCGCUCGUAGGUGGCUUUGUAAGUCGGGCGUGAAAUCCCUGGGCUCAACCCAGGAACUGCGUUCGAAACUGCGUAUCUUGAGUGAUGGAGAGGGAAUCGGAAUUCUCGGUGUAGAGGUGAAAUUCGUAGAUAUCGAGAGGAACACCAGUGGCGAAAGCGGAUUCCUGGACAUUUACUGACGCUGAGGUACGAAAGCGUGGGGAGCAAACAGGAUUAGAUA
rnacentral:rRNA from 1 species